AUUUGGUGUUGGGGACACUUGAUGCACAAUUUUUUGAAUCGCUCCCAGUAAUCAUAAAGUGACUCAUCUAGAUGCUGGUUGAUACCACAGAUCUCUUUUCUUAGACU